UAUGUGCCAGUUUGUCCAGACUCCCC
rnacentral:piRNA from 3 species